rnacentral:piRNA from 1 species
GAAGAUUAAAUCUUCUUAGGACA